GUCUGGCUAGCUCAGUCGGUAGAGCAUGAGAUCUCAGGGUCGGGGGUUCGAGCCCCCCGUUGGGCG
rnacentral:tRNA from 1 species